rnacentral:lncRNA from 1 species
GAUUUAAGAGGCUAAGAGUACAAAUUGGAGCUCAAGUUUGUUGAUUCUUUAAUCUCCAAUUUCAUUAAGGUAAGAAUACCAAUUUUUUUGGCAAACUCUAGAUUUUAAAUUGGAUACUUGAGUAAGGAUUAAUUGUGAACAUGAUUAUGGUGAUGAUAUAUUAACUUGAAAGAAUGGAUCUAUGGAAUAGGAUGUAAAUUAGAUUGGUGCAAGUGGGAAUUCAAGUUUCACUAGAUUAGAAUAAAGAAUUGUUUUUAUGUUUGGGAUGUAGGUAAUUAUGAUAAUUUAAAGAUUAGUGAAAUGCUAGAAGGUAGAAUUUGUUUCAAUUGUGAAGGAAACUAAAGAAUAUAUUCAAGUGCUGAAAAGUCAAGUUCUAAUAUUUCAUAAUUAAAUGUUAAGAGAUACUUAGUAUGGGAGUUGUUAAAUUAGUUAUUUUACAUCGUAUUUCAGGUGAUGACGUGAAAGUUUUACAAGGCUGGUCAAUUUGACCGGAUUGUUAUCCAUAGAUCUGUGAGUGGAGAAUCUACAUUUCCAAAAAAGAAUAUUUUCUUUUCUAUUUUAUAGAAGCAUAUUAAUUACAUGAGAUGCCUUAUUUUCGAGAAUUAGUAAAUGAGCAUGAUUGUUUUGAAAUUAUCAGAAAAUAAUUGAUGUGAUUAUUUUACUCUAGUGCACUAAGGGGCUACAGCCGUGUACUAGAGUCAUGUAUUUAACUCUUAUCCACUGAGGGGCUACGACCGUGGAUAAAGGUGUCCAAUAUACACUGAGGGGCUACAGCCGUGUGUAAGGGUAACUCUUAUCCACUGAGGGGCUACGGCCAUAGGUAAAGGUAUCUAUUAUGCACUGAGGGGCUACAGCCGUGUAUAAGGAUGAUUAUGUUGUUUCCAUCUUGUACACUGAGGGGCUACGGCCGUGUACAUAGUAUUGAUCAGACGGUUCAUGUGCAUAUCAUUUUAUAGCUUUCAGAUCAUUAGUAGAGGUUUACAUGGGGUAUAUUUUAAUGUGAAUUUAAGUAUAUAGAUUAUUAGCCUUCAGCUUACAUUUCCCCGUUGACAGUUCAAUUUAUGGAUUUCAGAUUAUAAGGUUCAAUUUAUUCAGUUCUAAGAAUAAAGCUUCCGGCUUAUAAUAUUGAGCAACAACAAUAUUCCAUAGAUUUUCAUGAAUGCUAGAUUAUUUAUAUUCAUUAUACUUUGCAGUUACUUGUCUACAAUUAAGAAACAAGAAUUUUAUAAUGCAAUCAUGCUUAGUUUAAAAGUGUUGCUAGAUUUAAGCAUUUCCCAAACAUUUAAUAGAGCUAGAAUUUUCAGGAAGUAUGCAUAAAUGGAAAAGUAUACUUAUUUUCAAUCUAUCCACUCACUGAGUUACAAUCUCAUAUUUUGUUACCCUUUUUCCUUAUCGGAUAGCAGCUGAGUUGAGUAAUAUUGGAGCCUGUCGAUCUAUUGAAUUGAGCCACACGUCAUUAGUUGUAUGGUCUACUUUAUCAGAUUAGGUAGUACCUGUUUCUUAGGUUACAUGUAGUUUAUGUUAGAAAAGGUCGUUAUGAGAUCACUAUAUGGUAUAUUUAGUACAUUUGAGGAUUGUUGAUAGUAAAGCAAGAAAAUUUCAAAUUGUCUGUAUUUUAUUUUGAAUAAUUUGGAUUUUGAGGCACUGGAGUACUUGUUUUAUAUUAUAUGUAUUGAGUUGAGGAAAUUGAUUAUGAAUCAGGUGUUUUAGUCCAUAUUUUAGAGGAG